GGGGAAGAUGGUCAUUUGGCAGUGAUGAUGUGGCCCCGAUUGCAGAAUUGAGUUGGAGGCUGAAGCAUGUGAGCUCUGAUCCUUGCCAGUUCCGGGACAUUUGGAAAUGUCUGGAGAUAUUUUUGUUGGCACAACUGGGAGGAGACUGCUACUGGCAUCUAGUACAUUAGAGACCAAGGAUUCUACUGAACAUUCUAAAAUGCACAGGUUUCAAAGUAAGCCUAGCACAGAGAAGGAACUCAUCUCAGAUUUUGGCCUUCGCAUUUACUCACCACUCACUGACUCAGUCAGAGCAACUUCCAGUCCUGCAAGCUCCAUUUAUGGUAAGU